GAUUUUAUAGGGGGAGCUGGAGCAGACGUGACAAUUUCAUUAUUCAAAACAAAGCAUUUACCUAUUUUCUGUCCAAAAGAAACGUUAGUGUUUUAAAGCUGUUUUUGAUGUACUCAAUACAGCAUUCCAAGAGUAUGGUGACGCAGGUCAAGUCCAAUCCUACCUUACUGGCACAUAGGAUGGCCAAUGUCAGACCCAGACGACAGGACAGACGCCCAGUUGACAGCACCAUCCCCAAGUCCAGGCUGAUUACCUGGGACCCCUCGGAGGACUUUGUGAAGACCAGCCACAUGGUCAACACACCUGUACAGACCAUACACAUCAUGGGGAACCUGGGACCAGCAGGCAAACUUGUCCAAAAGGAGAAGGAAUGCUUGUCUGCACGAUAAGAGCAGAUGGAAAUGGAGUGGUUACCAUCACACCAGACUUCAACAAAGGCAAGGAGCACUACAGGCCAGUGACCCGCACCCGCUGAAGUCAAAAUAUUUUACCCCUAGCUCAAGUUGAGACGGAGGGGGAGAAGAGGGAGGUGUGGCGUCAGACCAGAGGAGACAGAACAGCA